AUUGAAAUUAUUAAUAAAUGUAAAAAAGUUACAUUACGUGAUACUCCGCAUAGAGCUGAUUUAAUGAACAAAUGUAUACAUAAAGUACAUGUCACGAGCGUACUGAUAAAUUUACCAAUAUGUUCACAUGUAUCUUCUGUGAUAAAUUUAUUGUAUUUUCAAAAGUAAAUUUUUGUAGAGUAGAACAAAGUUUCUAUUAAAGCGGAAGUAUUGCCAUCCCAUUAAAUCUCUCAUUCGAGGCGAUUUAAGGUUCGUCGAUGUAUAGUACAAAUCUGACCUUUGGUAUAUUCUAUACAUUUUUUUUAAAUGAGAGUUGCCGUGCGUAAAAGUUCUCCAUCAACGCAAAACGAUCUUAUCGUGCAACACAUGCAUAUUACGUUCAGCCCAAGUGUCAAACCGGAAGGCACCCAGGCGAGCAAAUGUGGCUAACACGUGGAUAAUAUUUCUGACGGUGAUCGAAGCGUAAAGAUGAAAGACAAACGAAAAAAUGGGAAGAAUAUUGGACAUCGACAUCCCAAGAGACCGGAUAGUGGAAAAUAAUAGGAUAUGGUCCUAACAUAAAAAGAAUAUAUAUCUCUCUCUCUCUCUCUUUCUCUGUAUAUUAAAAUUAAAUAUUCGCCAAAUUUUGUAUUAAUUUGACCAACGAUUUUUCAUUCACCUUAUACUUUUUCUUUAAAAAUAAAAGGAAUUAAUAUAGUUUUUUGUUGCUAAGUUUUCUAGUAGCUCUUCUAGGAAUUUAAUGUCAAGUGCGCCUGAAGAAGAACAAAAUUCCAUUGUACGCGGGUAUUUAAGGAUUAACAACGUUGAUAGUUGUACCAAAGUACAACUUACAAAGCAUUUAAUAACAUUAAUUGUGUUAUAGAGAAAGUUUGUCAUCCUCCAAUAAUAAAUGUUGUUCUUCUUUUUCUACGAAUAACAAAUCCUAUCAAAAUGUACAGCCUUGGCCAUAAAUAUGAAGUACCUUCAAUUUAAUGCAUUUUCUU
rnacentral:lncRNA from 13 species